rnacentral:rRNA from 1 species
CCUACGGGGGGCAGCAGUGAGGAAUAUUGGUCAAUGGCCGGAAGGCUGAACCAGCCAUGCCGCGUGAAGGUCAGUGCCCUAUGGGCGUUAAACUUCUUUUGUGCGGGAGCAAUAAUGGUCACGUGUGGCCAGACGAGAGUACCGUACGAAUAAGCAUCGGCUAACUCCGUGCCAGCAGCCGCGGUAAUACGGGGGAUGCAAGCGUUAUCCGGAGUUAUUGGGUUUAAAGGGUGCGUAGGCUGUGAGGUAAGUCAGCGGUGAAAUGCCCCCGCUCAACGGGGUGAAGUGCCAUUGAUACUGGCUGGCUGGAAUGCGGAUGCAGUGGGAGGAAUGUGUGGUGUAGCGGUGAAAUGCAUAGAUAUCACACAGAACACCGAUUGCGAAGGCAUCUCACGAAUCCGCGAUUGACGCUGAUGCACGAAAGCGUGGGUAUCAAACAGGAUUAGAUACCCGAGUAGUC